UGCCAGCCGCCGCGGUAAUACGGAAGGUGCGAGCGUUAAUCGGAAUUACUGGGCGUAAAGCGCACGUAGGUGGCUUGGUAAGUCGGAUGUGAAAGCCCUGGGCUCAACCUGGGAACUGCAUUCGAUACUGCUUAGCUAGAGUAUGAGAGAGGGUAGUGGAAUUCCGGGUGUAGCGGUGAAAUGCGUAGAUAUCCGGAGGAACAUCAGUGGCGAAGGCGGCUAACUGGACUGAUACUGACGCUGAGGUGCGAAAGUGUGGGGAGCAAACAGGAUUAGAUA
rnacentral:rRNA from 1 species